rnacentral:rRNA from 1 species
AGAGUUUGAUCCUGGCUCAGGAUGAACGCUAGCGGCAGGCUUAACACAUGCAAGUCGAGGGGCAGCAUAAUGGAUAGCAAUAUCUAUGGUGGCGACCGGCGCACGGGUGCGUAACGCGUAUGCAACCUACCUUUAACAGGGGGAUAACACUGAGAAAUUGGUACUAAUACCCCAUAAUAUCAUAGAAGGCAUCUUUUAUGGUUGAAAAUUCCGAUGGUUAGAGAUGGGCAUGCGUUGUAUUAGCUAGUUGGUGGGGUAACGGCUCACCAAGGCGACGAUACAUAGGGGGACUGAGAGGUUAACCCCCCACACUGGUACUGAGACACGGACCAGACUCCUACGGGAGGCAGCAGUGAGGAAUAUUGGUCAAUGGACGCAAGUCUGAACCAGCCAUGCCGCGUGCAGGAUGACGGCUCUAUGAGUUGUAAACUGCUUUUGUACGAGGGUAAACGCAGAUACGUGUAUCUGUCUGAAAGUAUCGUACGAAUAAGGAUCGGCUAACUCCGUGCCAGCAGCCGCGGUAAUACGGAGGAUUCAAGCGUUAUCCGGAUUUAUUGGGUUUAAAGGGUGCGUAGGCGGUUUGAUAAGUUAGAGGUGAAAUUUCGGGGCUCAACCCUGAACGUGCCUCUAAUACUGUUGAGCUAGAGAGUAGUUGCGGUAGGCGGAAUGUAUGGUGUAGCGGUGAAAUGCUUAGAGAUCAUACAGAACACCGAUUGCGAAGGCAGCUUACCAAACUAUAUCUGACGUUGAGGCACGAAAGCGUGGGGAGCAAACAGGAUUAGAUACCCUGGUAGUCCACGCAGUAAACGAUGAUAACUCGUCAGCGCUUGUUUUCGCGGGCAAUCUUCCAACCCUCAAUAUAAUCGGAAGACGGGAAGUGGAACGGACCUACGGUACCUACCACCUCGAGCUGAGGAUACUUCUGCUUCACUGCCUUGCAGAUCAUCAGGUAGCGCUGCUCGAAAUCGGUAGAGAUGAGGUCUUCGUUGCCGAUGCCUAUCAUCUUGAGGUUGAACGGAGCCGGAUGACCCGCAUCGGCUCUCAUCUUAGCCCACUUAGAGGUGGCAGGGUCGCCAUUCGCCCAUUCUACCAGGUCUAGCAC